rnacentral:rRNA from 1 species
AGAGUUGAUUAUGGCUCAGGAUGAACGCUAGCUACAGGCUAACACAUGCAAGUCGAGGGGUAGCAGGGUAGCAAUACCGCUGACGACCGGCGCACGGGUGAGUAACACGUAUCCAACCUCCCAUAACUCAGGGAUAGCCUUUACGAAAGAAAGAUUAAUACCUGAUAGUACUUUUUCAAGGCAUCUUGAGAAAGUUAAAGAUUUAUUGGUUAUGGAUGGGGAUGCGUUCCAUUAGAUAGUUGGUGAGGUAACGGCUCACCAAGUCUUCGAUGGAUAGGGGUUCUGAGAGGAAGGUCCCCCACAUUGGUACUGAGACACGGACCAAACUCCUACGGGAGGCAGCAGUGAGGAAUAUUGGUCAAUGGGCGAGAGCCUGAACCAGCCAAGUAGCGUGAAGGAAUGAAGGUCCUAUGGAUUGUAAACUUCUUUUAUAGUAGAAUAAAGUGAUCCACGUGUGGAUUUUUGUAUGUAUACUAUGAAUAAGGAUCGGCUAACUCCGUGCCAGCCGCCGC